AUGGCGGCAUGUGCUGCUGCUAAAAGUAAUGAAUUACAUGUAUUGCCAUGUGCUGGAAAGAUAUGGCCGCUGUGUCGCGCCAAGUGCGUGUCCAGGCGCCGGCACCGCCUCAUCUCCGACCCCCACCACCACAGGAGGCUCCCCCAGACCCUUGCCGGCGUCUUCUACCUCACCAGGGACGAGUGGCACUCUCCCCAGGAGGUCCGCCAUUUCGCCAGCCUCCUUCCGGAGCUGGGACGCGGGGCUCUCGUCCACCCCUCCCUCUCCUUCCCGCCUUGCUACGAAUACUGCUUGGCUGGUGCAGCGAUCUACUCGUCCAGAAUAGGGGUGUGGACUUUCAAGAGAAGUUGCACGACCUCUGAGCUUAGAAUCUACACUGACACGAGAAGCGUCUUCUUCAAUGACAUCUUGCAUCUUGUCAUGCCUAACUGUUCUAUACUGGCAGUGGAGACUGAUGGGGAGAGAUGGAGGAUCAUUCGUGUGCCACACCAGGAAGCAGAGUUGGAGCCUGCUUUUAUUUGCCAGUCCUAG
rnacentral:rRNA from 1 species